CAGAGUUUCUAUUUCUCCACAUCUUCUCAAGGGAAACCAUCCUCCAGCAUUGUGACUCCAGAAGCUACUAAAGACACAGGAUUAAAGAAACUUGGCUACUCCCUGGAUUACAGGUGUUGACCUGAAAGUACUCCCCAGUAAAUGUGAUGUGUGAGAAUCUCCUCCUCAGAGUGUAUUUCACUGGGCAACCCAACCUGCAAUACUGUCCUUCCAGAAAAAGAGAGAGAGAAAGUCUGAGACAAUUAAAUUGCAAAUAAAA